GGCCUACGGGGGGCAGCAGUGAGGAAUAUUGGUCAAUGGGAGAGAUCCUGAACCAGCCAAGCCGCGUGAAGGAAGAAGGUCUUCGGAUUGUAAACUUAUUUUAUCAGGGAAGAAAAAAAUGACUGUACCUGAAGAAGAAGCACCGGCUAACUACGUGCCAGCAGCCGCGGUAAUACGUAGGGUGCAAGCGUUAUCCGGAUUUACUGGGUGUAAAGGGCGAGUAGACGGCGUUGCAAGUCAGAUGUGAAAGGCUAGGGCUCAACCUUAGGAGAGCAUCUGAAACUGUAAUGCUAGAGUGCAGGAGG
rnacentral:rRNA from 1 species